rnacentral:rRNA from 1 species
AGCAGCCGCGGUAAUUCCAGCUCCAAUAGCGUAUAUUAAAGUUGUUGCAGUUAAAAAGCUCGUAGUUGAAUUUCGGGAUUAGUGCGCUGGUCAUGCCUUUGGUAUGUACUGGUGUUACUGGUUUCUACCUUCUGAAGAACCGUUAUGUCAUUUAUUUGGUGUGGCGGGGAAUCAGGACUGUUACUUUGAAAAAAUUAGAGUGUUUAAAGCAGGCACGCGCUUGAAUACAUUAGCAUGGAAUAAUGAAAUAGGACGUUUGACCCUAUUUUGUUGGUUUCUAGGAUCGACGUAAUGAUUAAUAGGGAUAGUUGGGGGCAUUAGUAUUCAAUUGUCAGAGGUGAAAUUCUUGGAUUUAUUGAAGACUAACUACUGCGAAAGCAUUUGCCAAGGAUGUUUUCAUUAAUCAAGAACGAAAGUUAGGGGAUCGAAGACGAUCAGAUACCGUCGUAGUCUUAACCAUAAACUAUGCCGACUAGGGAUCGGAUGAUGUUAUUUUAAUGACUCAUUCGGCGCCUUACGG